rfam:Canis lupus familiaris chromosome 15, whole genome shotgun sequence.
AGGAGCAACAGCCCCAGUGGCGGGGCCAGCUCUGGAAACCUGGAUUCAGCUCCGGCAGGAACUCCGGAGCUCUCCGUCUGCAGGGCCUGGAGGCUCCGGGGUGGG